ensembl:lncRNA
GGCCCUAGGCUGCGUGCACUUCCCCGGUCCAAGCCGCUCAGGUUCGGCCCUCAGGCAGCCCUCAGAGGCACAAAUGCGGCUGGGACUGCGCUUUGUGCCCUUCCCAGGUCCGAGUAGCUCAGGAGUUUGGCUAGCGCAAUCGCCACGGCUUGUCCCCUUUUCCGCCGCUGCCGCUCAGCUCUCUGGGUGGACUGCUGGCGCACCCCGUGAGGCAGACUGUGACUGUCCAGCACCCCCAGAAGUCUUAGCAAAGAAGCCUGCUUGCAGUUAGUCAGAAACCUCAGUCUCAUUGGAGCUGGCUGUAAUGUCAUCAUACCUGUACCAACAAGGAUGGUUGAUACACCCAAGUAAAAUUCAGAAGACUGUCAGACUGUAGCCUGCCAGACUCCUCUGUCCAUGGGAUUUCCCAGGCAAGAAUACUGGAGUGUGUUGCCAUUCCUCCUCCACGGAAUUUUCCAGACCCAGGGAUUAAACUGCAUCUCCUGCACUGGUAGGCAAGGUCCUCACCACUGAGCCUCCAGGGAAGCCCUUGGAGUUUAACUGAUAAAUACAACUCAUAUUUGUCAAACUCUAGUAAAGCAGAAACAAAUAAAUGCAAUAAAUGGUUCUGAAAUGGAUCAUCUUGCUUUAUAGGAUAUUAUUGGGAGAUUGUAAAAUUUGAUUGAUCUGAGAAAUUAG